GCUUGUCUCAAAGAUUAAGCCAUGCAUGUCUCAGUAUAAGCUUUUACACGGCGAAACUGCGAAUGGCUCAUUAAAACAGUUAUCGUUUCUUUGGUGGUUAUUGAUUACAUGGAUAACCGUGGUAAUUCUAGAGCUAAUACAUGCGCCCAGACCCAACUUUUAGGAAGGGUUGUAUUUAUUAGAUGGAAACCAAUGCGGGGCAACCCGGAAUAUGGUGAUUCAUAAUAACUUUCGGAUCGUUUACGAUGCAUCAUUCAAGUUUCUGCCCUAUCAGCUUUGGAUGGUAGGGUAUUGGCCUACCAUGGCUUUAACGGGUAACGGAGAAUUAGGGUUCGAUUCCGGAGAGGGAGCCUGAGAAAUGGCUACCACAUCCAAGGAAGGCAGCAGG
rnacentral:rRNA from 1 species